UUAUACAUGCAAGUCGAACGAAGUAGCAAUACUUAGUGGCAGACGGGUGAGUAACAUGUGGGAAUCUUCCCUUUGGUGAGAAAUAACACGAGGAAACUUGUGCUAAUAUCUCAUAAGUCUUUACGGAGAAAGCUUUUGCGCCAAUGGAUGAGCCCGCACUUGAUUAGUUUGUUGGUAGGGUAAUGGCCUACCAAGACGGUGAUCAAUAGCUGAUUUGAGAGGAUGAUCAGCCACAUUGGGACUGAGACACGGCCCAAACUCCUACGGGAGGCAGCAGUAAGGAAUCUUGCACAAUGGAGGAAACUCUGAUGCAGCGAUGCCGCGUGAGUGAAGAAGGCCUUUGGGUUGUAAAGCUCUUUCGUCGGGGAAGAAAAUGACUGUACCCGAAUAAGAAGGUCCGGCUAACUUCGUGCCAGCAGCCGCGGUAAUACGAAGGGACCUAGCGUAGUUCGGAAUUACUGGGCUUAAAGAGUUCGUAGGCGGUUAAAAAAGUUGGUGGUGAAAUCCCAGAGCUUAACUCUGGAACUGCCAUCAAAACUUUUUAGCUAGAGUAUGAUAGAGGAAAGCAGAAUUUCUAGUGUAGAGGUGAAAUUCGUAGAUAUUAGAAAGAAUACCAAUUGCGAAGGCAGCUUUCUGGAUCAUUACUGACGCUGAGGAACGAAAGCAUGGGUAGCGAAGAGGAUUAGAUACCCUCGUAGUCCAUGCCGUAAACGAUGUGUGUUAGACGUUGGAAAUUUAUUUUCAGUGUCGCAGCGAAAGCAGUAAACACACCGCCUGGGGAGUACGACCGC
rnacentral:rRNA from 1 species